CGCCGCGGCCACGCGCACUGCGAUCCUCUGCGCCCCACGUGACGGCCCCUGCGUGUCUACGUGCGCGCCCCGGCGGCCGGGAGCCCGUAACGCUGGUCCCGCCCUCGAGUCCUGCCCAGCGCGGCACCGGCUGCUGCGCCUGCGCGCUCUGGGCCUCUCAGCUGCCGGGAGCUCCAGCUGUCAAGUCGUAUUCCAAGCCAACGUCUACUGCUUCCUGAAUUCAAUCCAGUGAUGCUAAAAGCAAAUGAGGAAACACCACGUUUAGGAAGCAAACGCGCUGUUGGGGAAAUCUGACAAGGCACAUUUACCAAGCUAGAAAUAGAAGUCAAAAUCUACAGCGUUCAGUUGCUGGCGUCUGUUCUUGGGUUUUAUUAAUGAUAGACCAAAACCGAAACAGUUGUUCAUGUUCCCGUAUUGGAAAUGAAUUCCAUCUGCAUCGUUUGUGGUAGGGUGUAGUAAACUGAACCAAAUGAGGAAAAUCUCGUGAGCAAAGGUGGUGACAUAUCUUUAACCGAUUGCCAGGGUAAUCGGGGACAGGAAUAUCAAAUGAAACAGAUGAAUGUGCCGUAAAUAAAUCUGUACAGUACUAGAAGUCCCUAGGAAGCAUCGCAAAAGAAACGACAUAUUCAUGCUGCUGCCACGUAGGAGCAGCCCAGUUUGUCUUGAAAAUAAAUGAGCAAAUGAACAGUAAUCUAAGCGUAGGCACAAAGUCCAAGUUUUCAAGUACAAUCCAUGUAUCAAAGCCCAUCUGGGAAUGGCUCUCCAGAAUAGCUAACAUAGCAUCCACAAAAGAUUGUACUACACAAGAAGAAUGUAUCUUAAGCUGUGAAAACCCUCAGAGGAUGGGAGUGCUUAAAUAGUUUGAAAAGUAUAUUCUAAAGUUACCUUUCCUUUGCUUUCUUUUUAUUCACAAGAUGUAUUUUGAAAUUUCAAUCAUCAUUAAAGAAAAAUACAAAAA